rnacentral:rRNA from 1 species
ACUCCUACGGGAGGCAGCAGUGGGGAAUCUUCCGCAAUGGACGAAAGUCUGACGGAGCAACGCCGCGUGUAUGAUGAAGGUCUUCGGAUUGUAAAGUACUGUCUUUGGGGAAGAAUGACUGAUUUGAGAAUAUUGAGUCAGUAUGACGGUACCCAAGGAGGAAGCCCCGGCUAACUACGUGCCAGCAGCCGCGGUAAUACGUAGGGGGCAAGCGUUGUCCGGAAUUAUUGGGCGUAAAGGGCGCGUAGGCGGAUAGUUAAGUCCGGUGUGAAAGAUCAGGGCUCAACCCUGAGAGUGCAUCGGAAACUGGUUAUCUUGAGGACAGGAGAGGAAAGUGGAAUUCCACGUGUAGCGGUGAAAUGCGUAGAUAUGUGGAGGAACACCAGUGGCGAAGGCGACUUUCUGGACUGCAACUGACGCUGAGGCGCGAAAGCGUGGGGAGCAAACAGGAUUAGAUACCCUGGUAGUCCACGCUGUAAACGAUGAGUGCUAGGUGUAGAGGGUAUCGACCCCUUCUGUGCCGCAGUUAACACAAUAAGCACUCCGCCUGGGGAGUACGGCCGCAAGGUUGAAACUCAAAUGAAUUGACGG